rfam:Picea glauca, whole genome shotgun sequence.
GGGUGUGAUCAUAUCAGUGUUAAUAAACCAGAUCCCAUCAAAACUCCAUAGUUAAGCGUGCUUGGGCUAGAGUAGUAAUGGGGUGGGUGACUCCCCAGAAGUCCUAGUGUUGCACCCU